UGGGGAAUUUUGGACGAAUUGGGGGCAACCGAUCGAUCCAGCAAUGCCGCGUGUGUGAAGAAGGCCUUCGGGUUGUAAAGCACUUUUGUCCGGAAAGAAAACGCCGUGGUUAAUACCCGUGGCGGAUGACGGUACCGGAAGAAUAAGCACCGGCUAACUACGUGCCAGCAGCCGCGGUAAUACGUAGGGUGCAAGCGUUAAUCGGAAUUACUGGGCGUAAAGCGUGCGCAGGCGGUCCGCUAAGACAGAUGUGAAAUCCCCGGGCUUAACCUGGGAACUGCAUUUGUGACUGGCGGGCUAGAGUAUGGCAGAGGGGGGUAGAAUUCCACGUGUAGCAGUGAAAUGCGUAGAGAUGUGGAGGAAUACCGAUGGCGAAGGCAGCCCCCUGGGCCAAUACUGACGC
rnacentral:rRNA from 1 species